UACGUAGGGGGCAAGCGUUGUCCGGAUUUACUGGGCGUAAAGAGCGCGUAGGCGGAACGAUAAGCGGGGCCGGAAAGCCCCCGGCUCAACCGGGGAAGGGGCCGCGAACUGUCGUUCUUGAGGGGGAGAGAGGAGAGCGGAAUUCCUGGUGUAGCGGUGAAAUGCGUAGAGAUCAGGAGGAACACCCAUGGCGAAGGCAGCUCUCUGGCUUCACCCUGACGCUGAGGCGCGAAAGCGUGGGGAGCGAACGGG
rnacentral:rRNA from 1 species